rnacentral:lncRNA from 1 species
UUAGCAGAUUCUGGUUAAAUAUCUCAGAGCUGAUUUUCGAGGCAACUGGAGCAGACGUCCAAGUGUCACUGCAAUCAUGCAGCCUCCCAGACUAUAACCAGUGCACAGUAGGCUGAGCUGUGGUUUGUGGUUCUUUCACCAGACUCCUGGAUGUGCAGCUGGAGGGGGUUCAGGCAACUUGUGGCUAUUGUGGGACCCUGGCUCCCCAUGCAGCCUCCUAUGCUGCACAUGUUUCAGCUGUCUGAAUGCUGAAUCCAGCCAGGAAAACAGUCUGUGUCUGCAAAACCUGUCUAACGAGCAUUGUUCUGACGGACUUUCUUCUCCUUUCCAGUUGAUUUCCAGCAUCUCUGAUCAAGAGGUGCGCUUCUGUAAUGGGUUCUGACAGUAUUUAUCAAAUCCACAGCUCUUGCCGUGCUGCAUACAUGGAAAUGAAGCUCUCAGUCCUGAUUCAGUCCCUGAUUCCCUUCAGCAUGCAAGCUGUGCUUAGUUCCAAAAUGUGAGUGGCUCAUGGGCUGCCAUUUACCUGCUGGCCAUCGAGUCUCAUCAGGAGCUGUUUUUCACUCAAAGGGAAGAGUAAAUAGAGACAUUUUUUUUCCCUGUCAUGGGAGCUUGCUGAUGUCUUUCUGCUGGAAGAAUGUUGAUGCUGUUUGGUAG